rnacentral:rRNA from 1 species
GGGUCAGUAGGUUGGUCGUGCCACCGGUACGUACUGGUCUCACUGAUUCCUCCUUCCUGAAGAACCGUAAUGCCAUUAAUUUGGUGUUGCGGGGAAGCAGGACUGUUACUUUGAAAAAAUUAGAGUGUUUAAAGCAAGCUAGCGCUUGAAUACAUUAGCAUGGAAUAAUGAAAUAGGACGAUCGAUCCUAUUUUGUUGGUUUCUAGGAUUGACGUA